UAGGGAAUCUUCCGCAAUGGACGCAAGUCUGACGGAGCAACGCCGCGUGAGUGAAGAAGGCUUUCGGUUCGUAAAACUCUGUUGUUAGAGAAGAACAGCGCAUAGAGUAACUGUUAUGCGUGUGACGGUAUCUAACCAGAAAGCCACGGCUAACUACGUGCCAGCAGCCGCGGUAAUACGUAGGUGGCAAGCGUUGUCCGGAUUUAUUGGGCGUAAAGCGAGCGCAGGCGGUCAAUUAAGUCUGAUGGGAAAGCCCCCGGGUCAACCGGGGAGGGUCAUUGGAAACUGGUUGACUUGAGUGCAGAAGAGGAGAGUGGAAUUCCAUGUGUAGGGGUGAAAUGCGUAGGUAUAUGGAGGAACACCAGUGGCGAAGGCGACUCUCUGGUCUGUAACUGACGGUGAAGCUCGAAAGCGGGGGUAGCAAACAGG
rnacentral:rRNA from 1 species